rnacentral:rRNA from 1 species
UACAGAGGUCUCAAGCGUUGUUCGGAUUCAUUGGGCGUAAAGGGCGCGUAGGCGGCGGGGUCAGUCGGGUGUGAAAUCUUGGGGCUUAACCCCGAAACGGCACUCGAAACUGCCCGGCUGGAGGGCCGGAGAGGAGAUCGGAAUUCACGGUGUAGCAGUGAAAUGCGUAGAGAUCGUGAGGAAGACCCGUGGCGAAGGCGGAUCUCUGGACGGCUAACUGACGCUGAGGCGACGAAGGCCAGGGGAGCAAACGGG